UGCGGGUAGGAGCACCGGUCGUGCUCAACGGCCUCAUAAGCCGAGUCAGGUGGGUUCGACUCCCACACCCGCCCCC
rnacentral:tRNA from 1 species